rnacentral:miRNA from 1 species
UGGGUUGAGGCUUUUGGGCAGGA